rnacentral:rRNA from 1 species
CCUACGGGAGGCAGCAGUGGGGGAUAUUGGACAAUGGGGGGAACCCUGAUCCAGCGACGCCGCGUGAGCGAAGAAGUAGUUCGGUAUGUAAAGCUCUGUCAGCAGGGAAGAAAGAAAUGACGGUACCUGACUAAGAAGCCCCGGCUAACUACGUGCCAGAGCCGCGGUAAUACGUAGGGGGCAAGCGUUAUCCGGAAUUACUGGGUGUAAAGGGAGGGUAGACGGUUAAGUAAGUAUGGAGUGAAAGGCAGGGGCUCAACACCGGUACUGCUCUGGAAACUAUAUAACUUGAGUGCGGGAGAGGUAAGCGGAAUUCCUGGUGUAGCGGUUAAAUGCGUAGAUAUUAGGAGGAACACCAGUGGCGAAGGCGGCUUGCUGGACUGUUACUGACGUUGAGGCUCGAAAGCGUGGGGAGCAAACAGGAUUAGAUACCCGGGUAGUC